ACCCCCCUCCAUUCACUGUUGUCACUUCCUCAAUAUGCUUUCCAGUAAACUUCAGCCGAUUUCCCUUCCCUUGUGUAACUUAUUGUUUCAGAAGAAAGUCUACUGUGUAACUUCACAUGAAAUGACCUCAAGAGUUUUAAUAUGAGGCUGUACGGAUUGCUAUUGACUUUCUUGGUUCUGGCAGAUGAUAACUAUGGAAACACUGAUAUUUGUGACCAUUGUUCUCAGCAUUUGCCAAACGAUGGGAAUCACUCAAAUUCAAGUUUACUUGCACCCCAAUGUUUCCUUUAUAAUGUAAAAGUAUUAAGUUGUUCCUGGAGCACAGAUUCACUUCCUGGGGAUGCACACUAUUCUGCUUCAUAUCAAUUUGCUCAGAAUCAAAUGGCCACCCUUUAAAUUGUACCUUAGAUGGUUCAAAGAAAUUGGUUGAAUGCCAAAGCCAAAUUAUAGCAUCAUCAAAUGAAGUGGCUGUAAAUUUCAGUAUUUCCAUGAAUGGUAUCUCGACACUGUAUGCAAAUUUUAUAAUGACAUUGUAGAAAUUGAAAAGCUUGAUCCUCCACGCAAUAUUACAGCUUUAGUUCAUUCAGGAACUUUGGAAAUACAGUGGGUGUGGCCAGAAAGUUGUUGUUCUCAAACAGACGCAUGUUUUAUUUAUGAGUUAAAGAUCAAUAAUGAGAUAAAAAACCUGAAAAAUGAUUUGGUAUAUAAAUAUGCAAACAUUAAACCAACAAGUCGCUACACUAUUCAAAUCAGGACCAAACAUGAUGAUGCUUGUCUCAAUGAUAAUGAUAUUUGGAGUGACUGGAGCAAACCUGUGGUGAUUGACCCGGAGAUCUCCAGCACUCCAGCACUAAAUGCAAGUGUGAUUAUAUGCAUUGCUUUGGUUCUUCCAAUGAUUCUUUUGGCUAUUAUUUUAGUCUGCAAGCUCCAAAGGUUAACUGAGAAGCUAUUUCCCUCCAUUCCAAACCCAUCUAAGAAAGUUCAAAUCCUUCUUGAGAAAGAAGAUUUUAAUCAGGUUACACCAAAACAAAUUGAAGAAACGGCUGAAAUUCUUGAGGUGUCAGGAUGAAGAACUAUUUUGUACCAACAACAUUUAAAGCAGCAUUAAGACAAAGCUACCAGUUAUAUCAAAAUGAUCAAACAAAGAUCAAACAAAGCUACCAGUUAUAUCAAACUGAUCAAACAAAGAUCAAACAAAGCUACCAGUUAUAUCAAACUGAUCAAACAAAGAUCAAACAAAGCUACCCGUUAAAUCAAACUGAUCAAACAAAGAUCAUACAAAGCUACCAGUUAGAUCAAACUAUUUAUUUUUGGCGCUACACAAAAGAAUGGAAUUGUGAUAAACACAGUGUGGUGAUGUUGUAUAGAAGCCACUAUACUAAAAAGCUUUUCUGGGUGGAUGAGAGCUUAAAACAGGAAAGCUGUGCAAAAAGAUGUGGUUCUAAAUGAGUAAACAAUAUGUAUCACCUUGUGUGUCAUUUCAUUCCCCACAAAACCUGAAGAGCAUCAGUAUUGUAUCCUUGAGAUGCACUAUGCUCCAUGUUUUUAGUUUAGUUUUAAAAGACACUCAAGACAUUACAUAUAUGGUCCCAGGCAUGCUUAGGUCUUUGUAAAUACUGUAAUAUACUAACACACUGUGUUUAUAGCCUGCAAUUAAAGUCCUAUGAUGGAAAUGUAAAACAGUACAUGCAUAAUAAAGAAAUGUAACAUAUAAGUUUAUAAAGUUUGUUUGAAUAAGAAUGUAUAAAUUUGCAUUGAUUGCAUCAUCUCCUAAUACUGUAACACAUUUCAGUGAAGCCAUUAGCACAUGCACAUCCUUCCCUUAAAGGCAUUAGAGCAUUUCAUGUGGGUACUUUCCAUCUUGUUUAAUAUGUACUCCAGCGUUGUAUGAUCUACUGUAUGCUUCAUAUUUCACAUGAUCUAAAAUAAAAAAUAUUUUUUGAAAUACA